rnacentral:rRNA from 1 species
CCUACGGGUGACUGCAGUGGGGAAUAUUGGACAAUGGGGGGAACCCUGAUCCAGCCAUGCCGCGUGUGUGAAGAAGGCCCUCGGGUUGUAAAGCACUUUCAGUGAGGAAGAACGCCUGGUGGUUAAUACCCAUCAGGAAAGACAUCACUCACAGAAGAAGCACCGGCUAACUCCGUGCCAGCAGCCGCGGUAAUACGGAGGGUGCGAGCGUUAAUCGGAAUUACUGGUCGUAAAGCGCGCGUAGGUGGCUUGAUAAGCCGGUUGUGAAAGCCCCGGGCUCAACCUGGGAACGGCAUCCGGAACUGUCAAGCUAGAGUGCAGGAGAGGAAGGUAGAAUUCCCGGUGUAGCGGUGAAAUGCGUAGAGAUCGGGAGGAAUACCAGUGGCGAAGGCGGCCUUCUGGACUGACACUGACACUGAGGUGCGAAAGCGUGGGUAGCAAACAGGAUUAGAUACCCCAGUAGUC